rnacentral:lncRNA from 1 species
UGUGCAGUUCCCAGAGCAGAUCCCUAAGUGAUCCCCGUGAACCAAAGGAGAUGACUGUGAAAAUGAUGCCUGCUGUCACACAGGGAGCAAGAGGGACAGACAGACUGUCACAUGCAGACCCUGCUUCUGGAGGGAGUUUGGGGGCUCAGUCAGAAGCAGGUGAAGAGUUUGGAGCUGGUUUUGCAGAGCAUCUCCUUCCUUCUACUUCCAUUCAACUAGCACUAUAUCCAGUUACAAGAAUACAGCUCAUCCCCUUUUGUUGUUAUUGUGACUGUGUUCUGCACACUUCAAGACUUCUGGAUAUUUUCUUAAAAACUUUUCUUUGA